ensembl:lncRNA
ACAUAAUGAUCAAAAUUUCUUGGUUGUCAGGUUUAGCAUCUCGCUCAUUAAAACUGUUUAAAAACACACAGGACAAUAUGCUGUUACUGAAUGACAACACUCAUAAUAAUGGCCUUGACAAAGACUUCUCCAUGCAGUCAAUCUUUAUUAUAGCAGUAUUCUCAUAUUCACAUCAAGUACAUAGAACUUUUUGCCUUUUAUAUAAUACAGAGUUCUUUAAAUAACUUUACACAGAAAUAAUUUUCCUCAAUCUGAAUUUCAAUUUUGUUGUUUUAAAUCUCCAUGCUCUCUAGCCAACUGAACAGUAUUUCCCAUUGUUUAGAUUAACAUGAGAAAAAACUCCAAAGUACAAAUGAAGGGACCUGAGUAGGAAAGGACCUAGAUAUAAAAAAAAGGCGUAAGAAUCAAAGAAAAAUAAUUUGAACAAGCAGUCACUCCAUGGAUGAGAAGACAGGAGGGGGAAAUGUCACCGAUCUGAAUUUUUUAUGACUUGAAAAGUUAAAUAAAAUUACUCAUCAUUUAUGCAAAAGCAGAUAUAGAAACCUAUAAAUAAUUAUGAAAAGACCCAAACUUUUCACUGCCUAUAUACCACAAACUCUAUGGGAUCCUCUCCAAACUUUGGCAGUAACAUAGUAGAGAGGAAGGCUUGCAUGUUGUACUACAUAAUUUAGAGUGAUAGGGUGGGAGGGUCAUUUAAAUGAAAACUUUUCCCUUCUCCCUGGGAGAUCCCUCAAUCCAGGAUAUGACAAAGGAAGGACAAAGGAAGAGUUCUCUUGCACGCUGUUCAAACCAAAUAGUAAUGACAACUAUCUUUUUAGCUAAACUACUGAAUGUGACACACCCAGGGAAAUAUGUCAACACAACAGUGAAACUGAAUUGCCCCAUAUGGGGAAAAAGAUCAGUUGUACCCUUCUAGGAGAAUCAGCUCAGUUGGAAGGAGGGACAGUGGGGAGGGGGAAGCAAAGAGAGGAAGGACAAAGUGCAAACCAACACAUGAGAUCACCACAUACACACAUCACUGAGAUUUAAUCCUUCAAAUCUAGAUGGCAUUAAAGGAGACCAAAUCUGACCAUCAGUUCAUAUGUUAUAUGGUAGAACAAAGGAAUACAAUGAGGACCUAAUAAUUUUUCAAAUGAUGUAAAAACACAGUUUAUAUAUGUACAAGUAUAUAAACUAAUGAUAGAACAUGAAAACAAAAGACAUUUUUGUUAGAAUGAACAAGAACAAAAAGGCUUAAGUUUAAAUAGCUGGUUUCAAUCAGGUAAGGAGUACACAAAAGGAUUAGGAAGGAAUGAUGUGUUUUGUAGGAUUUUUUUUUUUUUUUAAACUUCACAGCUUUGAAUAAAAAGCACAUUUAUUGCACUCUUACAUUUUAUUUUCAGAUAAUUAUAAUUUAUUUCCCGCCCUCAUCACCAUCUCCCCUAUUCUUGUAACUAUUCCCUCCCCAUCCCCCCUAAAUACUCACCACCCAAGUUUGGUCCAUUUUCUAUCCAUUUGUGCCCAGAUUGAAUUUCAAUGCUUAAGCUAUCCUGAAAUUUCCUCCUAAUUCUUGCGCUCGCGCGUACACGCGUACACACACACACACACACACACACACACACACACAGUAUUCAACCAGGGUUUAACAGAUACAAAUGCAACAUAGAAUAUUAGUCAAAAUACCCCCAACUCCUGACUUGACCCCUCCCUCAAAAAAGUCGCUCAUUCCUCUGCUUUCCUCUAUUUCAGAUGUAAAUUUCAUGCCUGAUUCUCUUAAAACUAUGGUUGAAACAGGGUAGGUAGGCAAUGGGGACUAGACAAGGUGUAUAUCGCUUGCUAAGAUGAUCAGAUGGUUGGAACAAAUCUCUCUUGACAGUAAUACAAAUAUUUUAUUCUUUAUUGGCAAAGAGUACUUCUACUACAAAAAGUUAUUUCUUUAAAAGAAAUAAAACACAUAUAAACCAAAAAAGAUCGCAUCCAACACACACACACACACACACACACACACAAAGGUGUGGGGAGGGAAGGAAACACUUGGAUGCAUCUACAGGCACAACUGGUUUGACCAUUAUGAUAGUCAAAGAGAGUUAAAAAAAAACAAAAAAAAACCACCCCACAAACCAUUAAGUUUAACCAACAAUUAAAAACAAUACAAAACGCAGACCUGAACUGAUCAUUGUUAACAGAAGGAGGCUCUGCUUUAAUCAUGUCUUUUCUGAGGUGGGGACUAACUCAAAGACAUGACUUACUCAUGACUUACAAAAAAAACCCCAACAAAAUACUGCAAUUCUGAUUUAAGAACUCAAAGCUAAAUCUCUAUCCUGCUUACCUUCUUCAAUAUUCUUUUUGGGAACUGUUAUUGCUUUUUACCAUAUCAUUCAAGCCUAAAUUUGUCUUUGUCAAAAUUGUGUGAGUGUACACAUCUGUACACACAUGGCCUGGAAUCUGGUAGGAACACACAUCUGAAGAGGGAAAGUUUAAUAAAGAUUACCUUCUUCGGUGCUGAUACAUCACAAACUAUAUCAGUAUUUAAAAUUCUACUGAAGCUCGAAAUGAGAAAAAUGAACACAAUGGACAUGCCAUUAUACUCUAGUCAAGACAUACCACCAUUGCUGGCAAAGUCAGAUAGGCUACCUUAUAUAUAACAUGUGUUAAGAGGGGUUUCUAAUGAAGAACCCAAUAACUAAAGAGUAUGCUUGUGGACUUUCUGGGGGGUAGGACAAAGGACAAAGAGUUUGGGCACAGAGGAGGAAGAAAGAUCUAAGAAACUAAACCAUGUUGCCCAAUCUUAUUUACCUGUCAAAGACAACCUUUGCCUUUUCCAUACACUGUCAACAUUCUUAUGGGAAAUCAGGAUCUUGUCCACAAUGGGACAGUCCCUCCCCAUCUGGCUCGCUCAGAUCACACAAACAGUGUUAGUAGUAUAAUCCUAUCUAGUUUGCAAAAUGCAAAGGAAGCUGAAUCCCAAGAGGGAGUUCCUCAUUUGGUGGUGUAGACAAGGUGGCUUUACAAAAUUUAGGCAUUGGGUGGAAUAAUUCUACCAACUGCAGUAGUAGUUUAGAAAGUUGGUAUUAAAAUGCUGUCCCAUGGUAUAUUUUUUCCUUUCUGACUAUCUGCAGAAAGUUCACAAUAUGGUCAGCAAGUAUAGAGAAUCUUAAUUUCACUUCUCGAACAUCCGCCCAACAUCAUUUCUACUGUGCAAAACAUUCAUGCUUUAGUGGCUGAAAGGGAAUAGAAAUAAUUUCUCCAAAAAUGCUGCAAUUCUACUUUUAAUCUAAUGGCUUCAUUAAAAAGAAAAAAAAAAACCAACUUUUUUUUUUGUAUGCAAAGAUCCAUUAGUGGGCUCUCUCAUUUUAUUCUCUGGUUUAGGUUACAAAAUUUAAAGAAGAUGCUUUCUUUUUUUUGAGGGGACUGGGGGAUGAUGUCUAUGCUGCUUUACCCAAAUAACAAACAACAGCGAUUAAUACCAGUCACUGCUCUCAUGUCUACAUUGCUAUAUUUUAGCUUUUAUUGCAUCACAAAGGCACAGUGAGAUCAUUUGGCAAACUGUAAAGGUAACUACUGGAGUCUCACAUGCACAGUGUCAUCUUAGGGCCUUGAAUGGAAGUUUUCAUUAAACAUCAAGGAGCACAUUGUUUAUCAUUGGCUAGUCUGCCAUUGUCCUUUUAAGCAUCUUUAUUUAGUUUUUUACAAAGUCUUCCACUGUAUUACAUUUAUGCCCAUUUGUCAUUCUCAAGUGCUGACUUGAUAGUUGCUAAAAUGGCAACUUAGAAAAAUCAGGAUGUUUUAAAAAAAUAUCUACAAAAUCCAUGCUCCUGGCUCAGUGGGCUUGCGUAGGUAAAAAGUGAAAUAUGUGAUAAAAAUUUAUUUAAAUUUGUUUUUUCUGCAUUUCUGACAGUUUAGAGAAACCUGAAACUAGCUUAGAAUAUGUGCUUUUAGCAAGCCAUCUUCCUGAAAUCAGAGCAGUUAAGUGAAGAAUCCACUUCAUUUAUUUUAUAUCUGUUAAAAAGCUCAUUAUUAGUACAGUGCCUGUCACAUAAAAAAUGUUUCUUCCCUUCCCUUUUUCCUUUUCCUUCAGUCAACAGACUGAACAGCUGCGAACAGUGAACAGACAUUAACUUCCAGCUGCUAUCUUAUAUUUAUGAAGAGUAUCAAAAUGCAGCACCCAAACAGAUCAGGCUUUCUUGGGGCCAUACUUGUACCUUUUAGAAUGGAUAUGAUAUUUCUAAAUCUUUUCAACAGUUAGUGCUAAACUGUACUGUCUGUCCUUUGAGAUUUACACCUUCACAUAAAUUUACAUCUUCACUUUAUUCAUUUAAGUCCUAGACUGAUAUAGUUACUUUAUCCUACUUCAAAAGGGAGAUCAUGAAUGCACACAUCAAUGAAUUGAGAAUAUCAACAUAUUCCAAACAAGAGACACUAUCUUUUAUUCAUCUUCGCCAUUUGUAGAAUAUCCUGUCAGCAUCAAGCACUGAUAUGAAAAUAUACAUAUGAAAAAAGGAUGAGAUCUGUAGAGGAACCCACAACAGUACUUUUUUGAAAUGUGUUCAAAAUAAAGUGCUGUGUCCUACUCGUGGGUGCUCAGAUUGAGUUGGGGGGAAUAUUUUUGUAUUAUUUUUAAAGGUACAUGGCACUAUGAUUUUCUUCCAAAAUCUCAAUGUAAAUGUUUUAAAAAAAAAUCAUUGCUGUGAGUUCCUGUGCUCUAAGUCACUCUAACAUUUGCUGAUAGGUUCCUGAUAGAAGCAGUAAUAGAACUUUUAGGAAAUGGUAUUUGACAGCUAAUUUGCCUACCAGUUCCACACUUAGAGACUCUAUAC